rnacentral:lncRNA from 1 species
AAUUUUGAAAUAUCACAGAAAAAAACACAAAACCUAAACGUAAACCUAAAACCCAUUUUUUUUAAGGCAGCCGCCGCCCCCUCCCCCUGGUUUUAAUUUUUUUUCGACAGCUGCCGGCCACAAGAAAAAAUCCAAGACAGCUCCCCGAUCCUCCUCUCGGCUGUUUCUCCCUUUCUUCUCCUUCGGCUACUCAUCCUUCAGAAACCAGAGCCGGCUUAUUCUCCCCUUUCCACUUUCAAAGCCAGCAGCCCCCACCUCUCCUUCAUUUCUUUCUCCAGCUUCUCCCCUCAACCAUGGCCGCCCCUAUUUUUUCAAAAAAAUAGAAAAACACCACUUGAAAACAAAGACAGCCCCGAACCCCUCCCUCUUUUUUCUUCUCCUCAGCCGCCGGACAAGCCUCACCCCAGGCCAUUUUUUUUUUUCGUUUCUCUUCUCCCUUCAGCCGGGCGGAUCUUCAGCUCCCUUCAACAGAAAAUAGAAGGAAAGCCCCCGCUACUCCCAUUUCCUUAUCUCCCUUUCAGCAGCGGCUCCUCCCCACAGAGCCGUUCUCCCACCUCCACCAAGCCACCGAUCUGCCACCCGAAGCAGAGGAGAAGAAGACGAAACCCAGCGCCCACCGGACAAGCAGCAGCAAGGCCAGCCACCGCUGUUCCUUUCCCCAGCAGCGUCGCUCCCCCUUUUUGCAACCGCCAGAUCCACCACCAGAAAUAGAGGAGAAGAAGACACCCACAACCGCCGGCCAUCUGAACAGAAGAAGAGGUAACGGAAACAAUCUGCAGAGAGGGGCAGAUCGAAGACGGCGGAGAAAGAAAGAACAACAAAAAAACAGAUUUGAAAAAACUAAGAAAAAACUUAAAAUCGACUGCCCUUGCUGUCUGUGUUUUUUUAUUUACAGGUAACACCGGCGAGGACGGGAAGAGGGGAUGAAGCUGCCACCAGACCUCCUGCUGCGUUUUUUUCGGGGCGGCGCGUGAGCCCACGCGCCGCCAGUCACGGCGGUGCGUGGGGUCCACGCGCCGCUGCUGUUCAGGCAGCCCAGAACUGUUCCUGAAGGGUUUUCCAGCACUGUUAUGGAUUGUUUAGGGACCAUUUUGUAAAUUUUAAAGUUUUAAUGUAAUUUUUGUUUAUUUAUUUUAAAUUUGUAAUAUGUGAAUGUAAAAAAAAAAAAAGAAGAAAAGAAAAGAAAAUAAUAAUAAAAAAGGGGAUGUGUGUGUUGGUGUAUUUUAUUUAUUUAUUUUGAAUUUGAAUUUGUAUUUGUAUUUGUAUUGUGGAUGUAAAAGAAAAGAAAGAAAAAAAAGAAAAAAAAGAAAAAAUAGUGAAACUGUAUGUGUAUAUGUGUUUGUAUUUUAUUUUUAUUUAUUUGUUUUUUUUUUUUACGAUAAAAUUGCAAAAUAUAUUAAAGAAGAAUUUAAUAUUUUGAUCGGAUCACGGUUAAGAAUUAUUAACUUAUACGUAAGUGAUAUUUCUAAUUUCCGACGAAAAGACAAUUAUUAAAACUUCUUUAACACGUCAAAGCCACGAAGCAGCUUACCUCAGGUAGGGUGCGUUAGGGGUGCUAAUACCUUCCCUAACCACAACCAGUUCCUUACCCGCGAAUCUCUGACAGGACCAGUGCAUCCGGUUUCCUAGUAGCCUUCAAUAAAUUACUAGGUGGCGACUCUAACGAACGAAUUCAAAACAAACGCAACAACGAGAUGAAAAAUCGCCAACCGAUGCCGCGCGCUGAUUUUUUGGGGUGCGACAGAAUGGCGACUCCACUGGGGAAGGUAUUUUUUCCGAUUAUUGGACUAAGCUUUGUGUAUUUGAUGUGUUUAAGUUUUUGCAUUUUUAUCUUUUUGUUAAUAUUUAUUUCCAUGCAUUUUAUAGAAUUGUCUCAUGCAUCACCUGUAUUUAUUUUUAAAAGCACACACAAGCUUCUAGGUUAGGUGGGGAACUAGCGAUCUGCCCUAAGACUAUUGGUCAGGGUUCAGAUGCGUGAAACACCCAACUCAUAUCUGAGUGCCUGCUUGGUAAUGGUGGGUAUAUGUGCCUUACCCUUUCCUUGCAACGCCCCCAAACUGUCUUUACGAAGAACGUCACUGGGCAGAUAUGAGACCCUUUUGAGACCAGAUAGAAAAAUUACCCAUGUUCACAUAAUGAAUAGAACCUGUCCUUAGGUUGUAUGUGCUAUCGUUUUUUGCAUAAGGGCAAACCCUUCUUGAAGCAUCUUGAACUCAAGACUUGUGGGUGACACAUUGGUCGUUGCUCCGAAAAUUUUCAUUGUAGAGUUUGGGCAAAAAUCACGAUUCUUGUCCAUCAUACAAGAGUUACGACCAUAUUGUCACCUCUCGAAGGGAGAGUUCAUCAUAUAGAUUACAUGUUCAUACAUUUAUCAUGCAUGAACCGGGUCGAAACGUAGGUCCCUUGUACAAGUUGUGCUGCACGAGAUUGAAGAAAAAUAAUGGAAGUGAACAAAGGAGUCAGAUAUAGGUUCAGUAUCAGAUUAAGGUUGAGAGCAUCAAGAGUGAAGUAGCGGGACUCAGAUCUGCUCGAACAAGUGUUGAGCAUCAAAUGAAAAGAGAAUGUCUGCACAGUUUGCUGUGGGAACACUGCUUGUUCACGUCCAAUUGAAGAUGUACCUUUCCUUUUCAGUCAUGAACAACAGCAACAACGCCUUCAGUCAUCAACUAAUGACAACUCUGAUUCCUGUCCAGUUGCGCUGUUAAGUAUUCAUCGCCUCCACAUCAUCUAAUGGAACCAAACGACUACUAACCUCCUGUUCAUGGUGCAUUAGUCUGCUUUGAAGUUACCCCAAUUAUGAGCUCAAUUCCAGUUCAGCAGCACAAGAUGUUGGUCUAAAAAAAAAACCAUGAUCAGACACUGAAUUUCAACGCGGUAGAGCUCUCUCUGUAGAGAUUUAUUUGUGGAUCUGUCAAUGGCAAAUGCAAAAGGGAAUGUAUUAAUUUCAUAUGCUUUGAAACUAUUUCCCACCAGUGGCACCAGCAAAACAUUGUAGUAGGCAGAAGAGUCAGACCUGGUCUGAUAAUAUUAGUAGUUGUCAAACUUCAAUGUGGCAGAGCUCUCUCUACAAAAAUCCAUUUAUGGCUCUGCAAAUUGGGAAUGCAAGAGGGGAUUUACUAAUUGCAUAUGCUACAAAUAUUUCUCUCAUCAGUUUCAGCACGAAGAAACUAUAGCAGGUUGAAGAGCCAGACUUGGCUUGAAAAAUAUGAGCAGACAUCAAACUUCAACGUAGCAGAGCUCUCCGACAGGAAUCUGUUUGUGGAUCCGCAAGUGUGAAAUCCAAGAAGGAAUACAGUAGUUUCAGAUCAUUUAUGAUUUUUCUCCAACAGUGUCAGUAUUAAAAUGCAAAAGUAGAGAGAAGAUACAUGCCUAGACUGAAAAACAUGAAGAAUACUGAAACUUCAACAGAGCAGGACUUCCUCUAUAGGUGUUUGUUUGCUGCACUGUCAGUGAGAAAUUGAAGAGGGGACGAAGGAGUUUUAGAUUCAUCAGGUGCUCUUCCAAUAAAGACAAUGUGUGAUUCCACACGUCGGUAGUGGCGAUACUAGAAGUUUCUGGAUGCUGCCAAGAUUACCAAGCUGUUAGAAAGUUUUCUAACAAUCCUCAACCAACCAUAGCAACAUUGGAAGAUUGAAGGAUCUGCCAUGGAUUCUAGAACAAUGAUGAGAGGUGAAUCAGGAGAUGACUUUGACAGUGUAAACCCUUAAUUAUGUGGUAUAGCCAAGUCUCACGGCAUCAUCAAUUGCUCAAAAUAUCUUUGCCAAGAUGGGACAUUGCUCUGCCGUUUAAGUUGUCGACCAGCAUCCACAAGAUUCCAGAAUUUUGCUUGACUCCGACAAAUUCCCAUGCAACCACCAAUUUCUUAGUGGUAUAAUCCAGAUAAGAGAUGUGAUGUCAUGGUGGGGUCCUCAACCAUUUCAAGUGAACAGUUUCAAGAAUAGCAAGAAUUGAGUCUGGAAGUUGGUGAGCAAGAGACAGGUGGAGUCGUUGAAGAAGGGUGUCACUGGCUAUAUUGUUCCCCGAACAUCUUCAGAAGGACAUGUGAUCGAAAAUGCUUGGCAAAACACAGAUAUUGCCAGAAAAGCUGAUUCGAGAAGGGUGAUGAACAGUCAAUCAUAUUGUUAUGGAAUUCUGCAUUUUGUUUUGGGAUCACAUCUCAUCCUUCAACGAAACAUGCCUUGCUUUUGUCUCUUUGUUGUUUUGAAAUCAACAGAUGUUUAGCAUUUUAUUCUGACAAAAUAUUUUGAUCAAACUACAACAUGCGAUAAAGGUUAAUCAAUCCGGAAGAUUAGAAGUGUUUUGAUUACAGAAAUGACUCUAUGCUUGAAAAUGACAUGAGGUGACCAAACAAUUUUGAACUCAUACCUCCUGAAACUGAACCACACAUCAUAUAGCUAAGUUUUAACAGUAUGCAUAAUGACAUGUAGUGGAUUCGGUAGUCAUGGACUCGUGAAUCAUGAUUCUUACAAGUCCCAAUCAUUACACUGGAUGAGGUCAAAAUUUAUCGGUUAUAACCGACCUUGCUUGAAAUGAGAAAAGGCCAUCUUUGAUAUCCCUUCACUUUCUAAAGAUUAUAUCCCUUGCAGUCCCAUUUUGAGCCUGGUAAAAUAUUUUCUUUCAAAAAAAGAAACCCUGACUAGGAUCACACCCCACACUGGGGGCAAAUGAGAGAUAUUUUGGAGACAUUGAUAUAAUUAAUGGAUAAAGGGGAAGGCUUAGAACAAAGGUCCAAUGAUUGAGAGAGAGCUAAAAGAAAACACAUAGACUGGGGGCAUAUAAGAAAAUUUUGAGGAAGGCUAUGAAAAAAAAAAAAGAGAAUGAAAAAAGGAAGUUGAAAUUGCCUUCACUUAAAUACAAGUCAAAGAUAAAGGAAGGAGAACGCCUAUCAAGUCUAUGAAGAGCAAAAGAAAUUUCAAUCAAGGAAAGGCACAACAAAAGUCAAUACCAGAAAAAAGACUAAGCUAUAAGCGUUGACUUUUGGUAUCCGUUAUAAAACCUAUGAUGAUUUAAGGUUGGUUAUUCCUCAAAGAAAGUUGGAUUUGCAUUAUGACUUAUGUUAAGAAAAGUCGGAACUUUGAGGUUAACAAGGUUAUAUGUCGUUUCCUCUAUAAAGACAACAAUAGAAAACAAGUUGAUGAAUAGUUGAUGUUGAUCCUAGGUCUUUGAAACCCUCAAACACCUUUUGAGCCUGUGAAAUUCCUUUCUUUCAUAGCCAUGAACCAUAGCCUGCAUUACAUGCUUUUUAAAGCCCUUUUUAAUCAAGCAAGCAACUUGAACCGAUAAAUGGCGCUCUCAAAACUUGAAGAGUUUUUCCAUAAGAGUCGUGACUUCAUGAAUUAAGUUACCGGUCGUUAUGCAUGUUGAUAAAAUUAUUGCUAAAAACAAAACAUGUUUCCUUCAUGAAUCCUCAAGUUUUGACUUGAGCCUGUUGUUUUCCUUGAAAUUCACAGAAGGUCACCUCACCAUAAACUAUCAAAUGAUAUACCCAAUAUCAAGGAUUCAAAUUGAUACAAAGAACCAUGGAAAAAGCCAUUUUUAAUCCUACAUUGGGUCAAUUUCUGUUUUCAAAAUGCAUGACAAUCAAAGGACUAUAUAUUUCGAAUAAAAUGUGUUGGGCCUUUGAUCAAAAAGCUUGAUUUUCAAAAGAUUUUAAAAAAAAAAGACAUCUCUGAUUUCAUUUCAACAAAUUAGACUUUGAAUAGACAUGAUCUUUGAAAUAUGAGAGUUGAUUCCAAAACAAGGAAGAUCAUCAAACACAGAAGAACAUUGAUUGAGUAUGCAAAAUCGUUGAUAGAAAUGACAUUGAAGUCCUCGACACUCCUUGAAAAGUUGAGCAGCUGGGGGCAAUACAGUAGACCUUGAAAAGGAAAAACAAGCAGUGUUCAGAUCAGCUAUGAGGCAAUGAUUAAAUGAUGAAUCAGUGAACUGAAGACAAUGAUGUUCAGAGACAGAUAGUCAAUGAACGAGCACAUUCAGAUUAUGCCGGGGGCAUUGUCAUUCCAAAAUGGCCCAUGCUCUAGUGAACCCUGUCGGCAAUGGAGAAACAAGGAUGUAUUUGAAGGACACUUUCAUAUCAUCAUCUUUUGAAACAUGGCUAGCAAUCGAUGACGAUACACAGAUGAAUGUAAUUGGUGAAAAGAUGCACACCACCAAGACUGACUGUGGAACAAUGCUGCACUUAAAGGACUAUCUCAUAUUGUCAUUCUUUGAAACAUGGUUAUAGACAGAGGUUAUCACACAACUGCACUGAAUGAAUGUUGGAAAGGCACCCACCUCGAAGACUGAUUGUGGGACAUCUAUUCUGAAGCUCAAAUGCGCACUUCACCGCAUGAAUAUGGGUGAUAACAUGAACAUCAUUGAUGAUGCCAAAGCAGGUAUUUUCAUGAUCUGAUUUGACAAGCUAAGAGGAAUCCAUAGAGAAAUACAUCGCGCUUACAAUGAUGAGCUGUUUACUGCAAAGCAUGAGAUACAUGUCUGGAUGACUUGGCAGUUCCAUGAAGGCUGGUGACCAUACACACUUGAAUGGUGUUUCAACCGAAGGCAAGUUCAUGAUUGAUUAACAAACGUGAUGGGUGUUGGCAUGAUGCACACAAUCAAUCAGAGGAUAAUUUCUCAGAAGAAGCCAGGAGAGAAAAUCUCUCAUGAUGAAUCAAGCAGUACUACACUUGGGGGCAGGGUCAAGCUUCAUGAACGAUGCAAGCAAUAAUUGUCGAAGACAGCCCGGGAUGGGCACUGCAUUUACAGCUGAGUGGAUGGCUAACACAUGAAUGAGCCAAUAUAUCGGAAAAACAAAGAAAGCUUUGGGAUACAAACAAGGGCACCCUAUGACGAUGGAGCAUCAAAGAGGGGGGACCUAUUAUUUCAAAUCAGGUAAGGAUGCAUGCAUAUCAUCUAACCUCAAAAAAAAAAAAAAAAAAAACCAUUUGCACAGAUUUUUGAACUGUUACAGGAAAAUCCUUAAUGAGGUCCAGCAAGAUAGUGGAAAGAGAAAGAAGCAUUGUGGUGAUGAUAAUAAAGAAUCGGUUUUGAUCAUGGAAUAAAAGGACGAUGGGAUGAACCCUACCAUUAGGAAAAUCCCAAAGAAAUGAAUAGAUCAACCUUGCAACCGGGAAGCCUCGAGUUUUCAACCCUUGCAGUCAGGAAACAUCGAGUUUUCAAACCCCAUGAUCGGGAAUUAUCAGGAAGCACCAAGUCUUUCAGCCCUUUCUUCUGUCAUCCCUUCAGAACUUCGCCAGGUAAGCCCUAUUUUUCACACUUGUCAUAUCACAUUCUUUCCAUCUGGGUAGGUCACCCAUCAUAAUGAGACCAUUUUUGUUCACAUUCUUUCCACCUGGGUUGGUCACCCAUGACAAUGAGACCGUGUUUUUCACAUUUUUUCCAUCCGGGUAGGUCACCCAUGACAAUGAGACCACACUUCAUCAUUUUUUUUCCAUCUGGGUAGGUCACCCAUUACAAUGAGACCGCACUUCAUAUUUUCUCCAUCUGGGUAGGUCACCCAUACGAUGAGACCAUCAUUUUUCCGGGGUUCGUCACCCAUACAAUGAGACCAUCAUUUUUCUGGGUUCGUCACCCAUACAAUGAGACCAUCAUAUUUCUAGGGUUCGUCACCCGUACAAUGAGACCAGCAUUUUUCUAGGGUUCGUCACCCGUACAAUGAGACCAGCACUAGGGUUUGUCACCCGUACAAUGAGACCAGCAGCACUAGGGUUCGUCACCCGUACAAUGAGACCAUCAUUUUUCGAGGGUUAGUCACCCGUACAAUGAGACCAGAAUGAGGUCGCCAGAUGGGAUCUCAUGUAGCUUUGGUUAAAGGGAAUCGCCAGAUGGGAUUUCAGGUUAACCGAGUUACACAUAUUUCGUUUUAGUUGAAUGAGGUCGCCAGAUGGGAUCUCAUGUAACUUUGGUUAAAGGGAAUCGCCAGAUGGGAUUUCAGGUUAACCGAGUUACACAGUUUAGUUCCAAUUGAAUGAGGUCGCCAGAUGGGAUCUCAUGUAGCUUUGGUUAAAGGGAAUCGCCAGAUGGGAUUUCAGGUUAACCGAGUUACACACAUUUUCGUUCCAGUUGAAUGAGGUCGCCAGAUGGGAUCUCAGGUAGCUUUGGUUAAAGGGAAUAGCCAGAUGGGAUUUCAGGUUAACCGAGUUACACACAGUUUAGUUCCAAUUGAAUGAGGUCGCCAGAUGGGAUCUCAUGUAGCUUUGGUUAAAGGGAAUCGCCAGAUGGGAUUUCAGGUUAACCGAGUUACACAAUAUUUUCGUUCCAGUUGAAUGAGGUCGCCAGAUGGGAUCUCAGGUAAACCCAAUGUGUGGGCAGGUCGCCCGUGAAAAUAGACUAUUGGGAGAGUGUGGGUCGGUCGCCCGUGAAAAUAGACUAGAGUGAGUAUGUGUAGGCAGGUUGCCCAAGAUAAUGAAAUCAUUUUCCUUUUGUUUUCUUUACAAAGCUUACUAUGCAAAAUUUUAAGGAUUUUCGCUUCGUAAGCAUUGUAAAGAGGGGGCAUCUGUUGCUACCCAAUUUUUGACCCAUGUUUUUGAUAUAUUUUUCAAAAAAAUCCAAAAAUAGAGAAAAACAAUGAAAAUCCAAAAAAUAUGUUUUUUUUAAUAUAUUCUCGUCAUUUUAGCAUUUUCAGCGUCGUCUAAAAAGAUUUUAAUUUUUAUUUAAAGAAUUUAAUUUUUCAAAAGAUUUUCGAACGCGUUCGACUUUUCACGCGUCAUUUUUAAAAUCAUUGAUUUUCCGUAUUUUGAGUCGACGUUGAUAUUGCUCGUUUUCAAAAAAUACAAAAAAAAUAAUAAAAAUCAAAAUUUACAAAAAGAAAGAAGUUGAGGGACCAAGUUGAAAAACCUAGCAAAAUUUUGUCUAUAAAUACUGGUUUCCAACACUUGUAAAGGGGGGGGGGCAAUUUUGAAAUAUCACAGAAAAAAACACAAAACCUAAACGUAAACCUAAAACCCAUUUUUUUUAAGGCAGCCGCCGCCCCCUCCCCCCUGGUUUUAAUUUUUUUUCGACAGCUGCCGGCCACAAGAAAAAAAUCCAAGACAGCUCCCCGAUCCUCCUCUCGGCUGUUUCUCCCUUUCUUCUCCUUCGGCUACUCAUCCUUCAGAAACCAGAGCCGGCUUAUUCUCCCCUUUCCACUUUCAAAGCCAGCAGCCCCCACCUCUCCUUCAUUUCUUUCUCCAGCUUCUCCCCUCAACCAUGGCCGCCCCUAUUUUUUCAAAAAAAUAGAAAAACACCACUUGAAAACAAAGACAGCCCCGAACCCCUCCCUCUUGAUUUUCUUCUUCCUCAGCCGCCGGACAAGCCUCGCCCCAGGCCAUUUUUUUCUUCGUUUAUCUUCUCCCUUCAGCCGGGCGGAUCUUCAGCUCCUUUCAACAGAAAACAGAAGGAAAGCCCCCGCUACUCCCAUUUCCUUAUCUCCCUUUCAGCAGCGGCUCCUCCCCACAGAGCCGUUCUCCCACCUCCACCAAGCCACCGAUCUGCCACCCGAAGCAGAGGAGAAGAAGACGAAACCCAGCGCCCACCGGACAAGCAGCAGCAAGGCCAGCCACCGCUGUUCCUUUCCCCAGCAGCGUCGCUCCCCCUUUUUGCAACCGCCGGAUCCACCACCAGAAAUAGAGGAGAAGAAGACACCCACAACCGCCGGCCAUCUGAACAGAAGAAGAGGAAACGGAAACAAUCUGCAGAGAGGGGCAGAUCGAAGACGGCGGAGAAAGAAAGAACAAAAAAAAACAGAUUUGAAAAAACUAAGAAAAAACUUAAAAUCGACUGCCCUUGCUGUCUGUGUUUUUUUAUUUACAGGUAACACCGGCGAGGACGGGAAGAGGGGAUGAAGCUGCCACCAGACCUCCUGCUGCGUUUUUUUCGGGGCGGCGCGUGAGCCCACGCGCCGCCAGUCACGGCGGUGCGUCGGGUCCACGCGCCGCUGCUGUUCAGGCAGCCCAGAACUGUUCCUGAAGGGUUUUCCAGCACUGUUAUGGAUUGUUUAGGGACCAUUUUGUAAAUUUUAAAGUUUUAAUGUAAUUUUUGUUUAUUUAUUUUAAAUUUGUAAUAUGUGAAUGUAAAAAAAAAAAAGAAGAAAAGAAAAGAAAAUAAUAAUAAAAAAGGGGAUGUGUGUGUUGGUGUAUUUUCAUUUAUUUAUUUUGAAUUUGAAUUUGUAUUUGUAUUUGUAUUGUGGAUGUAAAAGAAAAGAAGAAAAAAAAAAAGAAAAAAAAAGAAAAAAUAGUGAAACUGUAUGUGUAUAUGUGUUUGUAUUUUAUUUUAUUUAUUUGUUUUUUUUACGAUAAAAUUGCAAAAUAUUAAAGAAGAAUUUAAUAUUUUGAUCGGAUCACGGUUAAGAAUUAUUAACUUAUACGUAAGUGAUAUUUCUAAUUUCCGACGAAAAGACAAUUAUUAAAACUUCUUUAACACGUCAAAGCCACGAAGCAGCUUACCUCAGGUAGGGUGCGUUAGGGGUGCUAAUACCUUCCCUAACCACAACCAGUCCUUACCCGCGAAUCUCUGACAGACCAGUGCAUCCGGUUUCCUAGUAGCCUUCAAUAAAUUACUAGGUGGCGACUCAACGAACGAAUUCAAAACACGCAACAACGAGAUGAAAAAUCGCCACCGAUGCCGCGCGCUGAUUUUUUGGGGUGCGACAGAAUGGCGACUCCACUGGGGAAGGUAUUUUUUCGAUUAUUGGACUAAGCUUUGUGUAUUUGAUGUGUUUAAGUUUUUGCAUUUUUAUCUUUUUGUUAAUAUUUAUUUCCAUGCAUUUUAUAGAAUUGUCUCAUGCAUCACCUGUAUUUAUUUUUAAAAGCACACACAAGCUUCUAGGUUAGGUGGGGAACUAGCGAUCUGCCCUAAGACUAUUGGUCAGGGUUCAGAUGCGUGAAACACCCAACUCAUAUCUGAGUGCCUGCUUGGUAAUGGUGGGUAUAUGUGCCUUAACCAUUCCUUGCAACGCCCCCAAACUGUCUUUACGAAGAACGUCACUGGGCAGAUAUGAGACCCUUUUGAGACCAGAUAGAAAACUUACCCAUGUUCACAUAAUGAAUAGAACCUGUCCUUAGGUUGUAUGUGCUAUCGUUUUUUGCAUAAGGGCAAACCCUUCUUGAAGCAUCUUGAACUCAAGACUUGUGGGUGACACAUUGGCCGUUGCUCCGAAAAUUUUCAUUGUAGAGUUUGGGCAAAAAUCACGAUUCUUGUCCAUCAUACAAGAGUUACGACCAUAUUGUCACCUCUCGAAGGGAGAGUUCAUCAUAUAGAUUACAUGUUCAUACAUUUAUCAUGCAUGAACCGGGUCGAAACGUAGGUCCCUUGUACAAGUUGUGCUGCACGAGAUUGAAGAAAAAUAAUGGAAGUGAACAAAGGAGUCAGAUAUAGGUUCAGCAUCAGAUUAAGGUUGAGAGCAUCAAGAGUGAAGUAGCGGGACUCAGAUCUGCUCGAACAAGUGUUGAGCAUCAAAUGAAAAGAGAAUGUCUGCACAGUUUGCUGUGGGAACACUGCUUGUUCACGUCCAAUUGAAGAUGUACCUUUCCUUUUCAAUCAUGAACAACAACAACAACGCCUUCAGUCAUCAACUAAUGACAACUCUGAUUCCUGUCCAGUCGCGCUGUUAAGUAUUCAUCGCCUCCACAUCAUCUAAUGGAACCAAACGACUACUAACCUCCUGUUCAUGGUGCAUUAGUCUGCUUUGAAGUUACCCCAAUUAUGAGCAAUUCCAGUUCAGCAGCACAAGAUGUUGGUCUAAAAAAAAAACCAUGAUCAAACACUGAAUUUCAACGCGGUAGAGCUCUCUCUGUAGAGAUUUAUUUGUGGAUCUGUCAAUGGCAAAUGCAAAAGGGAAUGUAUUAAUUUCAUAUGCUUUGAAACUUUUUCCACCGGUGGCACCAGCAAAACAUUGUAGUAGGCAGAAGAGUCAGACCUGGUCUGAUAAUAUUAGUAGUUGUCAAACUUCAAUGUGGCAGAGCUCUCUCUACAAAAAUCCAUUUAUGGCUCUGCAAAUUGGGAAUGCAAGAGGGGAUUUACUAAUUGCAUAUGCUACAAAUAUUUCUCUCAUCAGUUUCAGCACGAAGAAACUAUAGCAGGUUGAAGAGCCAGACUUGGCUUGAAAAAUAUGAGUAGACAUCAAACUUCAACGUAGCAGAGCUCUCUCGACAGGAAUCUGUUUGUGGAUCCGCAAGUGUGAAAUCCAAGAAGGAAUACAGUAGUUUCAGAUCAUUUAUGAUUUUUCUCCAACAGUGUCAGUAUUAAAAUGCAAAAGUAAAGAGAAGAUACAUGCCUAGACUGAAAAACAUGAAGAAUACUGAAACUUCAACAGAGCAGGACUUCCUCUAUAGGUGUUUGUUUGCUGCACUGUCAGUGAGAAAUUGAAGAGGGGACGAAGGAGUUUUAGAUUCAUCAGGUGCUCUUCCAAUAAAGACAAUGUGUGAUUCCACACGUCGGUAGUGGCGAUACUAGAAGUUUCUGGAUGCUGCCAAGAUUACCAAGCUGUUAGAAAGUUUUCUAACAAUCCUCAACCAACCAUAGCAACAUUGGAAGAUUGAAGGAUCUGCCAUGGAUUCUAGAACAAUGAUGAGAGGUGAAUCAGGAGAUGACUUUGACAGUGUGAACCCUUAAUUAUGUGGUAUAGCCAGGUCUCACGGCAUCAUCAAUUGCUCAAAAUAUCUUUGCCAAGAUGGGACAUUGCUCUGCCGUUUAAGUUGUCGACCAGCAUCCGCAAGAUUCCAGAAUUUUGCUUGACUCCGACAAAUUCCCAUGCAACCACCAAUUUCUUAGUGGUAUAAUCCAGAUAAGAGAUGUGAUGUCAUGGUGGGGUCCUCAACCAUUUCAAGUGAACAGUUUCAAGAAUAGCAAGAAUUGAGUCUGGAAGUUGGUGAGCAAGAGACAGGUGGAGUCGUUGAAGAAGGGUGUCACUGGCUAUAUUGUUCCCCGAACAUCUUCAGAAGGACAUGUGAUCGAAAAUGCUUGGCAAAACACAGAUAUUGCCAGAAAAGCUGAUUCGAGAAGGGUGAUGAACAGUCAAUCAUAUUGUUAUGGAAUUCUGCAUUUUGUUUUGGGAUCACAUCUCAUCCUUCAACGAAACAUGCCUUGCUUUUGUCUCUUUGUUGUUUUGAAAUCAACAGAUGUUUAGCAUUUUAUUCUGACAAAAUAUUUUGAUCAAACUACAACAUGCGAUAAAGGUUAAUCAAUCCGGAAGAUUAGAAGUGUUUUGAUUACAGAAAUGACUCUAUGCUUGAAAAUGACAUGAGGUGACCAAACAAUUUUGAACUCAUACCUCCUGAAACUGAACCACACAUCAUAUAGCUAAGUUUUAACAGUAUGCAUAAUGACAUGUAGUGGAUUCGGUAGUCAUGGACUCGUGAAUCAUGAUUCUUACAAGUCCCAAUCAUUACACUGGAUGAGGUCAAAAUUUAUCGGUUAUAACCGACCUUGCUUGAAAUGAGAAAAGGCCAUCUUUGAUAUCCCUUCACUUUCUAAAGAUUAUAUCCCUUGCAGUCCCAUUUUGAGCCUGGUAAAAUAUUUUCUUUCAAAAAAAGAAACCCUGACUAGGAUCACACCCCACACUGGGGGCAAAUGAGAGAUAUUUUGGAGACAUUGAUAUAAUUAAUGGAUAAAGGGGAAGGCUUAGAACAAAGGUCCAAUGAUUGAGAGAGAGCUAAAAGAAAACACAUAGACUGGGGGCAUAUAAGAAAAUUUUGAGGAAGGCUAUGAAAAAAAAAAAAAAGAGAAUGAAAAAAGGAAGUUGAAAUUGCCUUCACUUAAAUACAAGUCAAAGAUAAAGGAAGGAGAACGCCUAUCAAGUCUAUGAAGAGCAAAAGAAAUUUCAAUCAAGGAAAGGCACAACAAAAGUCAAUACCAGAAAAAAGACUAAGCUAUAAGCGUUGACUUUUGGUAUCCGUUAUAAAACCUAUGAUGAUUAAGGUUGGUUAUUCCUCAAAGAAAGUUGGAUUUGCAUUAUGACUUAUGUUAAGAAAAGUCGGAACUUUGAGGUUAACAAGGUUAUAUGUCGUUUCCUCUAUAAAGAUAACAAUAGAAAACAAGUUGAUGAAUAGUUGAUGUUGAUCCUAGGUCUUUGAAACCCUCAAACACCUUUUGAGCCUGUGAAAUUCCUUUCUUUCAUAGCCAUGAACCAUAGCCUGCAUUACAUGCUUUUUAAAGCCCUUUUUAAUCAAGCAAGCAACUUGAACCGAUAAAUGGCGCUCUCAAAACUUGAAGAGUUUUUCCAUAAGAGUCGUGACUUCAUGAAUUAAGUUACCGGUCGUUAUGCAUGUUGAUAAAAUUAUUGCUAAAAACAAAACAUGUUUCCUUCAUGAAUCCUCAAGUUUUGACUUGAGCCUGUUGUUUUCCUUGAAAUUCACAGAAGGUCACCUCACCAUAAACUAUCAAAUGAUAUACCCAAUAUCAAGGAUUCAAAUUGAUACAAAGAACCAUGGAAAAAGCCAUUUUUAAUCCUACAUUGGGUCAAUUUCUGUUUUCAAAAUGCAUGACAAUCAAAGGACUAUAUAUUUCGAAUAAAAUGUGUUGGGCCUUUGAUCAAAAAGCUUGAUUUUCAAAAGAUUUUAAAAAAAGACAUCUCUGAUUUUCAUUUCAACAAACUAGACUUUGAAUAGACAUGAUCUUUGAAAUAUGAGAGUUGAUUCCAGAACAAGGAAGAUUAUCAAACACAGAAGAACAUUGAUUGAGUAUGCAAAAUCGUUGAUAGAAAUGACAUUGAAGUCCUCGACACUCCUUGAAAAGUUGAGCAGCUGGGGGCAAUACAGUAGACCUUGAAAAGGAAAAACAAGCAGUGCUCAGAUCAGCUAUGAGGCAAUGUUUAAAUGAUGAAUCAGUGAACUGAAGACAAUGAUGUUCAAAGACAGAUAAUCAAUGAACGAGCACAUUCGGAUUACUGGGGCAAUGUCAUUCCAAAAUGGCCCAUGCUUUAGUGAAUCCUGUCGGCAAUGGAGAAACAACGUACCUGAAGGCACUUUCCUAUCAUCAUUUUUUGAAACAUGGCUCGCGAUCGAUGAGGAAUACACAGAUGAAUGUAAUUGGUGAAAAGAUGCACACCACCAAGACUGACUGUGGAACAAUGCUGCACUUAAAGGACAAUCUCAUAUUGUCAUUCUUUGAAACAUGGUUAUAGACAGAUGUUAUCACACAACUGCACUGAAUGAAUGUCGGAAAGGCACCCACCUCGAAGACUGAUUGUGGGACAUCUAUUCUGAAGCUCAAAUGCGCACUUCACCGCAUGAAUAUGGGUGAUAACAUGAACAUCAUUGAUGAUGCCAAAGCAGGUAUUUUCACGAUCUGAUUUGACAAGCUAAGAGGAAUCCAUAGAGAAAUACAUCGCGCUUACAAUGAUGAGCUGUUUACUGCAAAGCAUGAGAUACAUGUCUGGAUGACUUGGCAGUUCCAUGAAGGCUGGUGACCAUACAUACUUGAAUGGUGUUUCAACCGAAGGCAAGUUCAUGACUGAUUAACAAACGUGAUGGGUGUUGGCAUGAUGCACACAAUCAAUCAGAGGAUAAUUUCUCAGAAGAAGCCAGGAGAGAAAAUCUCUCAUGAUGAAUCAAGCAGUACUACACUUGGGGGCAGGGUCAAGCUUCAUGAACGAUGCAAGCAGUAAUUGUCGAAGACAGCCCGGGAUGGGCACUGCAUUUACAGCUGAGUGGAUGGCUAACACAUGAAUGAGCCAAUACAUCGGAAGAACAAAGAAAGCUUUGGGAUACAAACAAGGGCACCCUAUGACGAUGGAGCAUCAAAGAGGGGGGACCUAUUAUUUCAAAUCAGGUAAGGAUGCAUGCAUAUCAUCUAACCUCAAAAAAAAAAAAAAAAAAAAACCAUUUGCACAUAUUUUUGAAUUGUUACAGGAAAAUCCUUAAUGAGGUCCAGCAAGAUGGUGGAAAGAGAAAGAAGCAUUGUGGUGAUGAUAAUAAAGAAUCGGUUUUGAUCAUGGAAUAAAAGGACGAUGGGAUGAACCCUACCAUUAGGAAAAUCCCAAAGAAAUGAAUAGAUCAACCUUGCAACCGGGAAGCCUCGAGUUUUCAACCCUUGCAGUCAGGAAACACCGAGUUUUCAAACCCCAUGAUCGGGAAUUAUCAGGAAGCACCAAGUCUUCCAGCCCUUUCUUCUGUCAUCCCUUCAGAACUUCGCCAGGUAAGUCCUAUUUUUCACACUUGUCAUAUCACAUUUUUCCAUCUGGGUAGGUCACCCAUCAUAAUGAGACCAUUUUUGUUCACAUUUUCCACUGGGUGGUCACCCAUACAAUGAGACCGUUUUUCACAUUUUUUCCAUCCGGGUAGGUCACCCAUGACAAUGAGACCACACUUCAUCAUUUUUUUCCAUCUGGGUAGGUCACCCAUUACAAUGAGACCGCACUUCAUAUUUUCUCCAUGGGUAGGUCACCCAUACAAUGAGACCAUCAUUUUUCCGGGGUUCGUCACCCAUACAAUGAGACCAUCAUUUUUCUGGGUUCGUCACCCAUACAAUGAGACCAUCAUUUUUCUAGGGUUCGUCACCCGUACAAUGAGACCAGCAUUUUUCUAGGGUUCGUCACCCGUACAAUGAGACCAGCACUAGGGUUCGUCACCCGUACAAUGAGACCAGCAGCACUAGGUUCGUCACCCGUACAAUGAGACCAUCAUUUUUCGAGGGUUAGUCACCCGUACAAUGAGACCAGAAUGAGGUCGCCAGAUGGGAUCUCAUGUAGCUUUGGUUAAAGGGAAUCGCCAGAUGGGAUUUCAGGUUAACCGAGUUACACAUAUUUCGUUUUAGUUGAAUGAGGUCGCCAGAUGGGAUCUCAUGUAACUUUGGUUAAAGGGAAUCGCCAGAUGGGAUUUCAGGUUAACCGAGUUACACAGUUUAGUUCCAAUUGAAUGAGGUCGCCAGAUGGGAUCUCAUGUAGCUUUGGUUAAAGGGAAUCGCCAGAUGGGAUUUCAGGUUAACCGAGUUACACACAUUUUCGUUCCAGUUGAAUGAGGUCGCCAGAUGGGAUCUCAGGUAGCUUUGGUUAAAGGGAAUAGCCAGAUGGGAUUUCAGGUUAACCGAGUUACACACAGUUUAGUUCCAAUUGAAUGAGGUCGCCAGAUGGGAUCUCAUGUAGCUUUGGUUAAAGGGAAUCGCCAGAUGGGAUUUCAGGUUAACCGAGUUACACAAUAUUUUCGUUCCAGUUGAAUGAGGUCGCCAGAUGGGAUCUCAGGUAAACCCAAUGUGUGGGCAGGUCGCCCGUGAAAAUAGACUAUUGGGAGAGUGUGGGUCGGUCGCCCGUGAAAAUAGACUAGAGUGAGUAUGUGUAGGCAGGUUGCCCCAAGAUAAUGAAAUCAUUUUCCUUUUGUUUUCUUUACAAAGCUUACUAUGCAAAAUUUUAAGGAUUUUCGCUUCGUAAGCAUUGUAAAGAGGGGGCAUCUGUUGCUACCCAAUUUUUGACCCAUGUUUUUGAUAUUUUUUCAAAAAAAAUCCAAAAAUAGAGAAAACAAUGAAAAUCCAAAAAAUAUGUUUUUUUUAAUAUAUUCUCGUCAUUUAGCAUUUCAGCGUCGUCUAAAAAGAUUUUAAUUUUUAUUUAAAGAAUUUAAUUUUUCAAAAAGAUUUUCGAACGCGUUCGACUUUUCAGCGUCAUUUUUAAAAUCAUUGAUUUUCCGUAUUUUGAGUCGACGUUGAUAUUGCUCGUUUUCAAAAAAUACAAAAAAUAAUAAAAAUCAAAAUUUACAAAAAGAAAGAAGUUGAGGGACCAAGUUGAAAAACCUAGCAAAAUUUUUGUCUAUAAAUACUGGUUUCCAACACUUGUAAAGGGGGGGGGCAAUUUUGAAAUAUCACAGAAAAAAACACAAAACCUAAACGUAAACCUAAAACCCAUUUUUUUUAAGGCAGCCGCCGCCCCCUCCCCCCUGGUUUUAAUUUUUUUUCGACAGCUGCCGGCCACAAGAAAAAAAUCCAAGACAGCUCCCCGAUCCUCCUCUCGGCUGUUUCUCCCUUUCUUCUCCUUCGGCUACUCAUCCUUCAGAAACCAGAGCCGGCUUAUUCUCCCCUUUCCACUUUCAAAGCCAGCAGCCCCCACCUCUCCUUCAUUUCUUUCUCCAGCUUCUCCCCUCAACCAUGGCCGCCCCUAUUUUUUCAAAAAAAUAGAAAAACACCACUUGAAAACAAAGACAGCCCCGAACCCCUCCCUCUUGAUUUUCUUCUUCCUCAGCCGCCGGACAAGCCUCGCCCCAGGCCAUUUUUUUCUUCGUUUAUCUUCUCCCUUCAGCCGGGCGGAUCUUCAGCUCCUUUCAACAGAAAACAGAAGGAAAGCCCCCGCUACUCCCAUUUCCUUAUCUCCCUUUCAGCAGCGGCUCCUCCCCACAGAGCCGUUCUCCCACCUCCACCAAGCCACCGAUCUGCCACCCGAAGCAGAGGAAGAAGACGAAACCCAGCGCCCACCGGACAAGCAGCAGCAAGGCCAGCCACCGCUGUUCCUUUCCCCAGCAGCGUCGCUCCCCCUUUUUGCAACCGCCGGAUCCACCACCAGAAAUAGAGGAGAAGAAGACACCCACAACCGCCGGCCAUCUGAACAGAAGAAGAGGAAACGGAAACAAUCUGCAGAGAGGGGCAGAUCGAAGACGGCGGAGAAAGAAAGAACAAAAAAAAAACAGAUUUGAAAAAACUAAGAAAA